rnacentral:tRNA from 3 species
CUCCUGAUGGUGUAGUUGGUUCAUCACGUUCGGCUGUAAACCGAAAGGUCCCUAGUUCGAUUCUGGGUCAGGAGA